AUUGAAUUCAUAUUUGACGACAGUAUACUCUUAGUUGAACAAUGAUGAAAACACAUCAUUUUAUCUUGAUAUUUUUUUGAGUGCAGAAAUCAUUAUCUAUGUUGUUGGAAUUAAAUCAUCCAGAGAUGGAAAUCAAUUUGGUGCAGCAAAAGAAUCCAAAACAAAAAUUUGGAUAAAUGGUUGGGAAGACUGGGAAGUUGGGGAAGCGGAGGAGAUAAAGAAAGUGGAAAUGGAGCAUGAGAACAAGCAGAAGGUGAACACAAUGGAGGUGUAAGAGUAAAGGGAAGUGGAGAAGACAACUAAAGUGGAAGAGAAAAUGGAAGUGCGAAUGUAAAUGGAAGUGGAUUCAAUAGUGAAAAUUGAUUUACUUGGGGAUGCUGGGGAGGUUUCUUUUCCCACAAAAAUGGUACAUUAUGAAGUGUGUAUUUGAAACCGCUUUUCUUGAUCAAAUUUUUGCGAAAUGAUAAGUUUUAAUAUUGUUUGGA